CGGGGUAUGGCGCAGCCUGAUAGCGCGUCCGCUUUGGGAGCGGAAGGUCGUAGGUUUGAAUCCUACUACCCCGACCA
rnacentral:tRNA from 2 species